UACAGAGGUCUCAAGCGUUGUUCGGAUUCAUUGGGCGUAAAGGGUGCGUAGGUGGCGCCGUAAGUCGGGUGUGAAAUUUCGGAGCUUAACUCCGAAACUGCAUUUGAUACUGCGGUGCUUGAGGACUGGAGAGGAGACUGGAAUUCACGGUGUAGCAGUGAAAUGCGUAGAUAUCGUGAGGAAGACCAGUGGCGAAGGCGGGUCUCUGGACAGUUCCUGACACUGAGGCACGAAGGCCAGGGGAGCAAACGGG
rnacentral:rRNA from 1 species